AGUGGGAAGAGGCCCAAGGAUGCAGCCCGGACCGCUUGCUCUCUUGUGCACAGUCUUGGCCUUCGUCUGCUUUGGUUCCAGCAAUACCCAGACGGUCAUUCAACCUACAAGUGUGGUGUAUAGGCAAGAGGGAGACUCUGUGACCUUGGACUGCAAAAUCACAGUCAGUUAUUCUUACUAUGUGAUGUACUGGUAUCAACAGCUUUCCACUGGAGAGAUGACUUACAUCAUUCGACUAUAUUCUACAAGCAGGAACUCAAGGGAAGGACGAUAUUCUGUGGUGUUUCAGAAACCAACUCUAAAGCUCACCAUCUCAGCCUUGACGUCUAGAGACUCAGCUGUCUAUUUCUGUGCUGUUGUAGAAGUAUCCCACGGAUCCAGUAUUGCCCAGAAGGUAACUCAAGCCCAAUCGGCAAAUGUUAGUGCAGGAGAAGGAGGCUGUGAUCCUGAACUGCAGAUACGACACCAGUUCUGUCAGUUAUAG